GCCGGGGUGGUGGAAUUGGUAGACGCGGUGGAUUCAAAAUCCACUGGGACUGAUACUCUCGUGCGGGUUCGAGUCCCGCCCUCGGCACCA
rnacentral:tRNA from 1 species